CUCCUUCGGGAAGGUGGAACAGGUGCAGUGGGAAGGUGGGCAGGGCACACUCAAUUUACUGAUUCCUGCCUACCCUGCUGUUAAUGACGGUGCCAGGAAUGGCCUGUGACAACCGCUCAGUUCCCAGCUCCAGGCACGUCUCCGUGCCUCCCCGGCUCCCGCUGCACUCGGGCUUUUCCCGCUGUGCCGCCUCCGUCUCGCUUCCCUCGCUCCAGCACCGCUCCCAUGCCGGGGCCCGGAGCGGGGCUCCUGCUGCCGCCUGCGGACGGCUCUGCGAACCCGCCCUGGAACAGAGCAUGAGCCAGCCCCGGGUCCCCAGGCAGCUCAUCCCGCGCAGCUUUCCCCGCAGCAUCCCCGGGGAGGCGGGAUCGGGACGCUCCAUCAGCCGGCCCCGGGAGAUGGCAGUGUCUCCCCGCCGGCAGCAGCCGGAGCCGGCACGGCUGCGGCAACGCGAACCCAGCCACGGCGAGCGAUCGUCUGGUUCUGCCCCGGAACACCCUCAGCUCCGCGUCUGCACAACCCCUUCUAGGCAUCUUUGCUGAAUGCACAGCUAUACACCACAGAAUAUUCAAGAAAAUUAAUCACAUGAAAGGUGGGAGUAGGAAGAAGGGACCAGGAAAAAUGUACUGCCAUUGCCAAGUACAAUUACCCUUUUCUGACAUGCUGUUUGAUACAAGUAGACAGUCUAGAUAUCCUGGAUGGUUGGUCUAAUCAGAUCUGACAUGGACAAUUGCAGGGGAGAGAGGUUUAUCUGAAGAAAUGAUUGCAAGCAGGCAAGUGGAGAGUAACCUUUCCCACAGCUUUGGAACCACUAUUUGUGCUCCAAGCAUCUGCUUACAUCUGUAGAAAAUAAGGCAGUUGUCUUUCCUUUGGUCAGCCUUAUUACACUGAAAAAAGAAGCCAAACACAAGUGAUGGUAUGUGGGUUUUCCAAACCAGGCAUUAGUGCUACAGAGCACUAAGCUGCUGUGAAAGGGGAAGUAGCUGAUCAACCAUGGAAUUGUGAGCUGGACCAUGAGAAAAGCUCUGCACUGGGGAGUAAUCUAUGUGCUGAAAACCACUGAGGAACUCUGGAUUAAGUACAAAGGCGGAGAAACAGGAAAGAAACAUAUCAGCCAGGAUUACAUUAGAGAGUCUGCUGUGUUAUUCAGUUUGAUUUUCCCAACAAAGCAAAUAUCAACAUGUUUGUUUUGUAUUUUAUUGCUCUGAUAAAUCCAACAUUGUGACAAGAGUUCUGGCUUCUUCUAUUCAUUAUGCUAUCCUGAAAUCCACAAUGACAAAAACUCUGAAGACACCACCCCUCCGGAUGACAGAACAUCAUGGAGACAGAUUGUCACUUUACUGCUGUGAGAGUCAAGAAAGACUUCCAGUUACAAGGCUGGGAGUAUAAUGUGAUGAUUUAUCAGGACAAUAUUUUUCUUGUAAUGCAUCCCAAUAUUGAAAUCCAUGGUUACCAGAGAUAAAGAGGUUCACCCUCUUUUAAUUCAGAAAUAUGCCAAAACAAUGUCAUCCACUUCUUUAUGCACCUCAUCUUAUUAAAACC
rnacentral:lncRNA from 1 species